UUUACUUGACAGAAGGGCAAGGCUAAACUGCCAAGGAAUUGGGAGAUUUUAUGCAACCGGCAAUACUGACCCCCCCAAAACCCAAACCGAAAAAGACAAACUAUAGAACACCCUGGACUGGUCGUGAGUCAAUCAUAGCGCACAUAUACAUAUCGUAAUUUAUAAGCCUGUAAGCCUAUAAGCCGUGACUUUUUUUUUUCCCCCACACGCUUCCAACUCUGUGGUUUAUGCGAUGAUGGGGCUAAUUUGUGCAUUUUUUUCUGACUGCCGCAAGGGGGCACUCGAGCGGAAAAGAGGAGGGCGACGCCUCGCAUGAUCCAGUGGUCGGGCGGGUGAGUGGUGCCCAGGAUCACGGCGGUGAUGUAAUUCAGGACUUUGUUAUUCAGGGUGACCGAGUCCAGAGCCCAGCCUUUGUUGGCCCUGGUCACCUCUUGCCUCAUAGCAGUGAGGAAUCCUGCACCACACAGUGACGUGACGUCGGCGAACGGGAAUUUGUAUCCAUUCAGC